rnacentral:rRNA from 1 species
UUUUUUAAUUGAAAACUUGUAUGAAAGGUUGAACGAGAUAUAAGCUAUUUUAUAAAAAUUUUAUUAAAAUUUUACUUUUUAGUUAAAAGGCUAAAAUUAUUUUAAAAGACGAGAAGACCCUAUAGAGUUUAAUAAAUUAUAAAUUUAAAAAAUAAAGAAAAUUAAUAUUUAAAUUUAAAAAUUUAUUUUGUUGGGGUGACAAUAAAAUUUAAUUUACUUUUAUUAUUAAAUACAUUAAUUUAUGAAUUUUAUUUGAUCCAAUAUUAUUGAUUAAAAAUUUAAAUUACCUUAGGGAUAACAGCGUAAUUUUUUUUUAGAGUUCAUAUCGAUAAAAAUUUUUGC